AUCCUAAAUGAUGGGGGAGGAGGCAUCCCCAAACAUACCUGUACUUGAAGGUCCCUUCCCCCUUGAGAGAGGCCCUGGGCAAUACGAUAUUCAUUUGACUUCUGUGAGGGCUGAAGAAUGAAUAGUGACGCACUCCAUGCCUGCAAGACUGACCCUCAAUAAAAAUCCUGGACACCAA